rnacentral:misc_RNA from 1 species
AUUGGAGGUUUUUGCAGAUGUCACCGUUUGCUCCUUUUAAAUAAAUUAGGUGGAUUUCCGUAUACAAUUGGUUCCCCUUGGGGUGAUAAGUAUCACUCGGUGAGGACACUGUAAAAAGGUGGCCAGGCAAUACAGAUGAACCGCUUCUAAUAGUCCCAUUGACUUGGACAAUUACAUUUAUGAUCUGAUCUCAAAUC